rnacentral:rRNA from 2 species
UUUCAGAUACCGUCGUAGUCCUAGCUGCAAACAAUGCCGACUGAGGAUCGGACGAGUAACUAGCUUCUCGUUCGGCACUCAAUGAGAAAUCAAAGUCUUUGGGUUCCGGGGGGAGUAUGGUCGCAAGGCUGGAACUUAAAGGAAUUGACGGAAGGGCACCACCAGGAGUGGAGCCUGCGGCUCAAUUCGACUCAACACGGGAAACCUCACCAGGGCAAGACAUAGCUAGGAUUGACAGAUUGAGAGUUCUUUCUUGAUUCUAUGAGUGGUGGUGCAUGGCCGUUCUUAGUUGGUGGAGCGAUUUGUCUGGUUAAUUCCGUUAACGAACGAGACCCCGAUCUGCUAAAUAGCUAGUGUGAAGUGAGGGAAGAUAACUGGCGUGCCUUGUGUGUGCUGGCCUCCCCUAAUAUAUUUGGCACUCAGCUUCUUAGAAAGACUACGUGUGUGAACGCGAGGAAGCUCGGGGUAAUAACAGGUCUGUGAUGCCCCUAGAUGCCCUGGGCUGCACGCGCGCUACAAUGGCGUGGAUAUCGAGUUGCUCCGUCGGAAGAUGAGGCAAAACAUGAAUCCACGCCGUGACUGGGAUAGACGUCUGAAAUUAUUCGUCUUGAACGAGGAAUUCCUAAA